AAUCCCCUCCCCGGCUGAUUUGCGCAUCAGGAGGAGGACUGAGCUUAUCUGACUCCAGAGCUUUCAGGAGGGAAGAAAGAUGUCAGAUGAAGAUGAUCUAGAAGACUCUGAGCCAGACCAGGAUGAUUCUGAGAAAGAAGAGGACGAGAAGGAGACAGAGGAGGGGGAGGACUACAGAAAAGAGGGGGAAGAGUUCCCUGAGGAAGGACCUGACAGACAUCUACUUGCUGCGCUCCUACAUCCAUCUGCGCUAUGUGGAUAUUUCUGAGAACCACCUGACAGACCUGUCUCCACUCAACUACCUCACCCACCUGCUCUGGCUCAAGGCUGAUGGCAAUCGGCUGCGAAGUGCCCAGAUGAAUGAACUUCCCUACCUGCAGAUUGCUAGUUUUGCUUAUAACCAGAUUACUGACACUGAAGGCAUCUCUCAUCCUCGUCUUGAAACCCUGAAUCUCAAAGGUGGGUCUUUAGGAUGGGCUACACAAGAUUCUUUCCUUCCUAGCCUGAGGCCAACAGAAGUGGGCAGUAUGGUCCUUGGCUAGGGCACAUGGC
rnacentral:sRNA from 1 species